UCGAGGUGCUCACAGUGU
rnacentral:miRNA from 1 species